rnacentral:rRNA from 1 species
UACGUAGGUGGCAAGCGUUGUCCGGAUUUAUUGGGCGUAAAUCGAGCGCAGGCGGUUCCUUAAGUCUGAUGUGAAAGCCCACGGCUCAACCGUGGAAGGUCAUUGGAAACUGGGGAACUUGAGUGCAGAAGAGGAGAGUGGAAUUCCAUGUGUAGCGGUGAAAUGCGUAGAUAUAUGGAGGAACACCAGUGGCGAAGGCGACUCUCUGGUCUGUAACUGACGCUGAGGCUCGAAAGCGUGGGUAGCAAACAGGAUUAGA